rnacentral:rRNA from 1 species
UACGUAGGGUGCAAGCGUUAAUCGGAAUUACUGGGCGUAAAGCGUGCGCAGGCGGCUUUGCAAGACAGAUGUGAAAUCUCCGGGCUUAACUCGGAAAGGUCAAGUGAUACUGUCGGACUAGAGUACAGAAGGGGCAACUGGAAUUCUCGGUGUAGCGGUGAAAUGCGUAGAUAUCGAGAGGAACACCUGCGGCGAAGGCGGGUUGCUGGGCUGAUACUGACGCUGAGGCGCGAAAGCCAGGGAGGCGAACGGG